UACAGAGGUGGCAAGCGUUGUUCGGAAUUACUGGGCGUAAAGGGCGCGUAGGCGGCCUUCUAAGUCAGACGUGAAAUCCCCAGGCUUAACUUGGGAACUGCGUCUGAUACUGGGAGGCUUGAGUGCGGGAGAGGGAUGUGGAAUUCCAGGUGUAGCGGUGAAAUGCGUAGAUAUCUGGAGGAACACCGGUGGCGAAGGCGGCAUCCUGGACCGACACUGACGCUGAGGCGCGAAAGCGUGGGGAGCGAACAGG
rnacentral:rRNA from 1 species